CUCGGAGCUCGUGAAGCAUAUACAAUUGCUGAAAUAUGCGAAACCUCCACCCACGCUGAAAAGUAUCCUCCACGAUCUGUACAGGUACAGGGGCUGGGGUUUCGCUUGCACCUUAUGGAUAAUGGGUUUUAAUGGAUCCUAAGGAGGCUAAUGGUUUCGAAGCACUCUUCAGUAAUGAAGAAAGUAGUUUUAAGAAAUAAAUGUACACCAAUCCCAGAUACCGUAAGCAUGUGGAAGUUAUUAUGCCAUGGCUGAAACAUCGUGGGUCUCUGGAAUAGACAAAAUAUUGUAAAUAUAUGUAAAUAGAAACUG